rnacentral:lncRNA from 10 species
ACUGUAAGGUUGAGCAGCGAGCGGCGGCGGCGGCCGGUACGCGGGUUCGCCGCCAGGCAGGCGUAGGUGCCUGCGUGGCCCGGUCCGACCGCGGGCAGCAGGAGGCGCGACCCCGCGGGCACCGCGGCCUCGGCCGGGUCCGCCAGGCUCCACGUGAUGUCGGCGGGCGGCCGCGAGGCGGCGGCGCAGCGCAAGGUCACGUUACUGCCCGCGGUGACAAAGCGGGCAGGCGCGGCGUCGCGGUCCGAGGAGACCGUGAUGGUCGGCGGGUCCGGGCCGUCUGGAGGGAGGAGGGGUCGGGACCGCGAGUGUCAGGGUCACCUGGGACGCCGCUAGGACUCCCGGAGACUGGGUCCCCAGCCCGCUUCUCCCCAAGGACCCCCUGUCCCCGACCCGAGGCAUCCCCCACUCACAGAAGACGCUGACGUCGGCGGCAGCCUCCCUGUGGCCGAAGGGGCUGCGGACGCGGCAAGUGUACCGGGCGUGGUCGCUGCGCACAGGGCGCACGAUGAGCAGCUGGUCGCCCUCUGAGCGCAUCCGGGGCGUCUCGGCUCCCUCCGAUUCCGCCGCCUCCAGGGCGCGUCCGUCCCGGCUCCAGCUCAGCUCCCCGCGACCUGGCCCCCACCCCAGGCAGCGCAGCCGGAGCUCGGCCGCCCCCUCCUCUGUCUCUGGAGCCUUGGGCUGAACCGACAGCUGGGGGACCCCACAGCACCGUGACUUGCCCAAAGCCUGGCAGAGCAGAGCAGCCCCUGCCGCCUGCACGCCGGACGCCAGGGCCCACUUACCAUACACACCCACCGUGAACUCCUGGGAGGUUUGAUGGAGGGAACUUCCACACCCAGCCCCUGGGAAGAGCUCUUUGAGUCUGAAGAGAAGGCAGAGGAGAAGUUGGUUUGCUGAAGUCCAGAAGAGGCUCUGAGGGACACUCCCUCAUGGAAUCCAGCCGCCACACUGCGAGGAUCAGCAG